AUUAGAGUGGCUGAUUAAGGUGAUAAAUUGUAAGUUUAUUAAUGGGUUAUAUAUCCUUCUAUUA
rnacentral:tRNA from 1 species